AACGAAAGCACCUUCUUUAUAUUGAAUGAUUCGUAAUUCACAUGGCCGCAAAACUUCAUUUUCCUUAUUUUGAAUGACUACGAAAGAAGAUGAUGCUUCCACCGACUACAGAACGAAAAUCAUCCAUUUUAGUAAUGAUUUGCUGUAUAUAGCCGUAUGACAAUAAGUAGAUAAUUGAAUGAAGUCAACACAAAUGAAUAACCUACAGUUUCUGAAGGAUUUUAUUUCCUUCCAUGUCCUAAUUCGAAAAUCAUUCAAUUACCAUCUAAAAUAUCAUACAGCAAAUUAAUGAUCCCAACUGUCAAAUCAUGCUUGAAAACAUUGUAAAAAUAUGGUGGCAGCAGCAUGGUGUAUUGACUUUUCCAUCAUGGAUUUUGUAGGGAUAUAUCGAGACCGUUUAUACACAGUUCGUGCAAUAAUGUAUUUUUGUGCAAUUAAGGUUUUUGGACGAGGAUUUGGUGGAGUCACAACGGGCCUGUGGACAUGAGAUAAACUCAUAUUUGUGAAUAAUGGAAAUAAAUAAUGAAGUGCAUUGAACUA